CCAAACUUGGUCAUUUAGAGGAAGUAAAAGUCGUAACAAGGUCUCCGUAGGUGAACCUGCGGAGGGAUCAUUACUGAGUGAGGGCCUCCGCGCCCGACCUCCAACCCCAUUGUUAUCCGACCCUGUUGCCUCGGGGGUGACCCGGCCUUCGGGUUCGGGGCCCCCGGUGGACCCCAACCAAAACACUGCAUCUUUGCGUCGGAGUGAUCAACGAAUCAAUCAAAACUUUCAACAACGGAUCUCUUGGUUCUGGCAUCGAUGAAGAACGCAGC
rnacentral:misc_RNA from 1 species